rnacentral:rRNA from 1 species
AUUGAACGCUGGCGGCAUGCCUUACACAUGCAAGUCGAACGGCAGCGCGGGCUUCGGCCUGGCGGCGAGUGGCGAACGGGUGAGUAAUACAUCGGAACGUGCCCAGUAGUGGGGGAUAGCUCGGCGAAAGCCGGAUUAAUACCGCAUACGACCUGAGGGUGGAAGCGGGGGAUCUUCGGACCUCGCGCUAUUGGAGCGGCCGAUGGCAGAUUAGCUAGUUGGUGGGGUAAAGGCCUACCAAGGCGACGAUCUGUAGCUGGUCUGAGAGGACGACCAGCCACACUGGGACUGAGACACGGCCCAGACUCCUACGGGAGGCAGCAGUGGGGAAUUUUGGACAAAGGGCGAAAGCCUGAUCCAGCAAUGCCGCGUGUGUGAUGAAGGCCUUCGGGUUGUAAAGCACUUUUGGCGGGAACGAAAAGGACUGUGCCAAUACCACGGUUCGAUGACGGUACCCGCAGAAUAAGCACCGGCUAACUACGUG